UACGUAGGGCGCAAGCGUUGUCCGGAAUUAUUGGGCGUAAAGAGCUCGUAGGCGGCUCGUUGCGUCGGCUGUGAAAACCCGCAGCUCAACUGUGGGCUUGCAGCCGAUACGGGCGGGCUAGGAUUCGGUAGGGGAGACUGGAAUUCCUGGUGUAGCGGUGAAAUGCGCAGAUAUCAGGAGGAACACCGGUGGCGAAGGCGGGUCUCUGGGCCGAUAUCGACGCUGAGGAGCGAAAGCGUGGGGAGCGAACAGG
rnacentral:rRNA from 1 species